AGAAAAGCAGGGCCAUAUUUUUCAUAUUGAAAUUUAUAACCAAACUUUUAUACAAAACACAAACCAUUUCAAAACUAUUCACAUCAAAAGAAAUUCUCAAAAGAAGAUAGACUCUUUGUCCACCCAGGCCAUACUUAAGGUCCCUCUCAGGAUUAUCUUCUUCUUCCAAAAAUCUUUCUCUUAAAGUUUCACCUCCGAGUUCUCUUAGAUUCCUCCUCAGCUUCUCGUUGGGGUCCUGAAAUGGUUUUUCCCCAAACUGGGAUGAGACUACGUCUCAGCGAGUUCUACCCCACUAAGCCCGAUUAGUAAACUAUUAUACUAAAGGCUGCCUAAACACGCACAGGGCAGAGGACUUACCUUGGCCUCUGAUCCCACCUGCAAGUCAGUACAAGUCACAAUAGGCACCCAAGCAGUCAUAUCACCGAUCGAAGCAUCGAUCAAAUCGACCUAGUCGAUUAUAUUCCAACAAGACCACUCACGGUCAUUUCCAUUCAGUCAAUCAAUUCACAACAUCAAAUCAAAGCAUCGACCUAGUCGAUUACAUGCCAAACAAAUCAAUCCCCACUGUGGGAUAUUUAAAAACUAGGCCACGUGUAUUCUCCAGGAUGACCUUCCAAGUCUCCGAGUCACGUGCCUCGAACCUUGGGCCCACGUGCAUUCUCUCAGGCGACCUUUUCGCCAAAGUGAUGCAUCAAGUCACCGAGACCACGUGCCCUUUUAGAUGCCCGGGCCCACGUGCAUUCUCUUAGGUGCAUCUCACCAAAGCGAUGCAUCAAUUCGCCGAGACCACGUGCCCUUUUAGAUGCCAUUCCGGAAUGCUGGACCCACGUGCAUUCUCUAAGGUACUCGCUUACCAAAGUGACGCAUCAGAUCACCGAGUCACGUGUCCUUUUAGAUGCCAAAUCCUGUCACCGAGCCACGUGCAUUCUCUAGGACGACAUACCGAGUCUCCGAGCCACGUGCAUUCUCUCAGGCGACCUUUUCGCCAAGGUGACAUAUUCAACCACUGAACUCACGUGCAUUCUCCAGGUGACAUUCCAAUUCACCGGGCACACGUGUCCUCUUUCAAGUGGUCACCAAAUCUACUUUCAAUAUCGACAACCAAUGCCCAACGAUUUCUCAAUCAAAUAAUUAAAUCAAGUCAACAAAGCAUUAUAAAUGCUGAAUAAACAUACUUGGCCAUUCACCAAUCAAUACUCAAUCAAAUAAUUAAAUUAACUCAACAAAGCAUUAUAAAUGCUGAAUAAACAUACAUGGCCAUUCACCAAUCAACAAUUCAAUCGCAAUCAAUUCCAAUCAAUUUAGGGUAAAUCCCUAAAAUAUCACAAUUUAUUCAAUUCCAUACAACGUAGAGCUCAAAUAAAUAAACGAAUUGCGCCACGACGAUCAGCAGGAGAUUUCAGUCGUCGGCCAUCAAAAUCUUAAUUUCCGAAAAAUAAAUAAAUAAUUAUUAAUUUCGAAAAUUAAUUAAUUACUAUUAAAAAUUCAAUUUAGCUCAAAAUAAAGCCCGAUUAAAUAAACGGACUUCACCACAGUCAUCAGCACAAUAUUCCGGUUCCGAACCAUCUCCCUUGAAUUUUCGAAAAAUAAAUAAUUAUUUAAUUUAAUUUCGAAAGUUAAUAUUUAAAUACUAAAAAUAUCCACUUAGGCCCGAAAAGCCUAAUUGGAGCCCACUAAGGGUCGGGAAAAUUCCCGAAGCACUUCCAAUAAUUAGUAGACCACGUCUACUUGCUAAUUACACAAUCAAUUUAUCUAAAUCACAUCACAAUUGACUAAUAAUUGCUAAUUUAUUCUAAUCUAACAACCUAAACAUAAUUAAUUAAAUCUAAACCAGCUUAAAGCAUAAUUAGCCACUAAUCCUAGAUUAGUGAGAUUACUCACCAAAUCGCGCGCAAAUCGGAUCAAUCCGACGGCGGCGACGCGAGGAACGAUUGUUCCCAAAGCACGGCUCGGGUUCAGGGCCGGGAAACGGCCCUAAACGGCCCACGAACAGCUGGAUACCCACUCCGUGGGUCUGCUGGUUCGGCUGCAAAACAACAAGAAAGAGAGAGGGUUGGGGCGGCAAGGGGUCGGGAAAGCAAGAGGCGGUCCGGUGAGGCCACACGGCGGCUUCGGCGGCUUGCUUGGCCACUCACGGUGGCUGGACGAGAUAGAACAGGGGCGAGAGACGCACGGGGGAGGCCUGAGCGCGAGGGGAUGGACGCGGGGCAGAGCGCGGACGGCGGGGGCGACGGC
rnacentral:lncRNA from 1 species